rnacentral:rRNA from 1 species
UACGGAGGGGGCUAGCGUUGUUCGGAAUUACUGGGCGUAAAGCGCACGUAGGCGGCUUUGUAAGUUAGAGGUGAAAGCCCGGGGCUCAACUCCGGAAUUGCCUUUAAGACUGCAUCGCUAGAAUUGUGGAGAGGUAAGUGGAAUUCCGAGUGUAGAGGUGAAAUUCGUAGAUAUUCGGAAGAACACCAGUGGCGAAGGCGACUUACUGGACAAAUAUUGACGCUGAUGCGCGAAAGCCAGGGGAGCGAACGGG